UACGGGGGGAGCAAGCGUUGUUCGGAUUUACUGGGCGUAAAGGGCGCGUAGGCGGCCACCGCAAGUCGACUGUGAAAUCUCCGGGCUUAACCCGGAAAGGUCAGCCGAUACUGCGGGGCUAGAGUGCAGAAGGGGCAACUGGAAUUCUCGGUGUAGCGGUGAAAUGCGCAGAUAUCAGGAAGAACACCUAUGGCGAAGGCAGCUCUCUGGGACGGUACUGACGCUGAGACGCGAAAGCGUGGGGAGCGAACAGG
rnacentral:rRNA from 1 species